GAUGAACGCUAGCUACAGGCUUAACACAUGCAAGUCGAGGGGCAGCAUGGAGUUUGCUUGCAAACUCUGAUGGCGACCGGCGCACGGGUGAGUAACGCGUAUCCAACCUUCCCCUUAGUAGGGCAUAGCCCGGUGAAAAUCGGAUUAAUACCCUAUGUUCUUCACAGCGGACAUCUAACGUGAAGCAAAGAUUCAUCGCUAAGGGAUGGGGAUGCGUCUGAUUAGGUCGCAGGCGGGGUAACGGCCCACCUGGCCGACGAUCAGUAGGGGUUCUGAGAGGAAGGUCCCCCACAUUGGAACUGAGACACGGUCCAAACUCC
rnacentral:rRNA from 1 species